AGAAAGAAGAAAAAAGAAAACAAGAAGAAGAAGAAUUCCCCCACCCAAACUUUUCUUCAUCUUUUUUUUUCCCUCUCUCUGAUCUUUCUCUUUUCUCCCUCUUUUCCU
rnacentral:ribozyme from 13 species